AAAUAAUCUCCCUCUUUCACUCUCCCAAUUUCUCUUUAGCUCAGCUACAAUGGCUUCCACAUUAUCCACAAUUACCCUUCGUUCUCCCUCUCCUAUUUCUCCAGCAACCGCAAGCUCCACGCACGCUUCAAUUUCCUUCCCCACCAAAACCCUAGAACUUCCCAUUCGCACUCCCAAACUGUACCACCGCCGGGCAACUCUCGUCCGCCCUCUCGCCGCCGUCGAAGCACCGGAGAAGGUAGUCCAGCUCGGAGAUGAAAUCUCCAACUUAACCCUCGCUGAUGCCCAGAAACUCGUCGAGUACCUUCAGGAUAAGCUUGGAGUUUCAGCCGCAUCCUUCGCUCCCGCUGCCGUCGUCGCUUCCCCUGGUGGCGCAGCCGCAGAUGCUCCAGCUGUGGUUGAGGAGAAGACGGAAUUUGAUGUAGUCAUCGAUGAAGUGCCGAGUAAUGCUAGAAUUGCGACCAUUAAGGCUGUUAGGGCUUUAACAAGUUUGGCAUUGAAAGAGGCUAAGGAAUUGAUUGAAGGAUUGCCUAAGAAAUUUAAGGAGGGUGUUUCCAAGGAUGAGGCUGAAGAUGCUAAGAAACAACUUGAAGAAGCUGGUGCUAAAGUUUCUAUUGCUUAAACAAAUUUGUGGUAAAUGUUCGUUCUUAGUUGUGUUUUCGCAAGAGAAUUCAGUUGUUAGAUAUACUUGUACUCAAUUUUCUCAAAUCAAGUUUUUUCAGUCGUCUUUGCU
rnacentral:misc_RNA from 1 species